UCCCAGAGUGUUGAGUUCAUACAAGAUUUCUUGUGCUUGUAUGGUAAUUAAUCUCUGGUACA
rnacentral:pre_miRNA from 1 species